rnacentral:rRNA from 1 species
AUUGAACGCUGGCGGCGUGCUUAACACAUGCAAGUCGAGCGGCAGCGGGCCCGCAAGGGUGCCGGCGAGCGGCGGACGGGUGAGCAAUACAUAGGAAUUUUCCCAGAGGCGGGGGAUAGCCCGGCGAAAGCCGGAUUAAUACCGCAUGAUGUCGAAAGACCAAAGUAGGGGACCGUAAGGCCUUACACCUUUUGAUGAGCCUAUGUCGGAGUAGCUAGUUGGCGGGGUAACGGCCCACCAAGGCAACGAUCCGUAGCUGGUCUGAGAGGACGAUCAGCCAAACCGGAACUGAGACACGGUCCGGACUCCUACGGGAGGCAGCAGUGGGGAAUAUUGGACAAUGGGCGAAAGCCUGAUCCAGCGACGCCGCGUGGGUGAAGAAGGCCUUCGGGUUGUAAAGCCCUUUAAGCCGGGACGAAAAAAUCGGCGAUAACAUCGCCGGUCUUGACGGUACCGGAAGAAUAAGCACCGGCUAACUCUGUGCCAGCAGCCGCCGUAAAAC